GUGUUAAAUUCUAAGUUUGGGGUAAACCCCGUAAGUAUUAAAAACCAAGGUGAGUACGAAAAAAGAGAGUACAAAAACGAAAUGUAGUCAAUGGGUCGAAAGAAGCACUCACCAAGGAAGAGUACUCAGUUGAAAAAAAAGAGAAGAUAAAAAAAUGGAGUAAUUGAAAAGAAGUAAAAUGAAAAAACACAGUGAAAAGAAUAAUGACAUUGGCUUUGAACCCAAAACCACUUGUUU
rnacentral:lncRNA from 1 species